GAUUUCAGCUGAAAAAGUCAUCAACAACAAAGUUGUAUAACUCAUUAAAAUCUAUAACUUCUAUUUUGGUCAUUUCUUUAUCCGACAAAGUUAUUUAUAAGAUUGUUCACAAAAUGUACAUAUCUCUUAUAUAGUUUAUAAGAUAUGUACAUUUAUAAGAUAUGUACAUUUUGUGAACAAUCUUAUAAAUAACUUUGUCAGAUAAAGAAAUGAUCAAAAUAAAAAUAAAAGUUAUAGAUCUUGAUGAGUUAUACAACUUUGUUAUUGAUGACUUUUUCAAAUGAAAUC
rnacentral:pre_miRNA from 1 species